rnacentral:rRNA from 1 species
CCCUUAGAUGUCCUGGGCUGCACGCGCGCUACACUGAUGCCUUCAACAAGCGUUGACCUUGUCUGACAGGGCUGGGUAACCCCGCCAAAGUGCAUCGUGAUGGGGUCAGACUAUUGCAAUUAUUACUCUUUAACGAGGAAUUCCUAGUACGCGUGAGUCAUCAGCUUGCACUGACUACGUCCCUGCCCUUUGUACACACCGCCCGUCGCUCCUACCGAUUGAGUGGUCCGGUGAGGCUUUGGGAUCUGAGCGGAAAGAGCGUUUCGCUGUUUCUGCUCGGAAAACUCAGUCGAACCUUAUCAUUUAGAGGAAGGAGAAGUCGUAACA